GCCACUGGCGGCAGGCCUAACACAUGCAAGUCGAGCGGUAGAGAGGUGCUUGCUCCUCUUGACAGCGGCGGACGGGUGAGAAAUGCCUAAGAAUCCGGCCGGGAAUGCGGGAAAACGCUCUGAAACGGACGCCAAUACCUGAUACUUCCAACUGAACAAAUGAGGGGAUUUUCAGGCCUUGUUCUAUCUGAUGAGCCUUCGUCGGAUUAGCUCUUUGGUGGGGUAAUGGGUCACCAAGGCGACGAUCCGUAACUGGUCUGAGAGGAUGAUCAGGCACACUGGAACUACGACACCGUCCACACUCCUACUGGAGGCAGCAGUGGGGAAUAUUGGACAAUGGGCGAAAGCCUGAUCCAGCCAUGCCGCGUGUGAGAAGAAGGUCUUCGGAUUGUUGAGCACUUUAUUUUGGGAGGAAAGCAGUUACUUCAUACCUGACUGUCUUGACGUUACCGACCUAAUAAGCACCGGCUAACUCUGUGCCAACAGCCGCGGCAAUACAGAGGGUGCAUGCGUUUAUCGAAAUCACUGGGCGUUAAGCGCGUCUACGGGGUUCUCUAAAUUGUAUGUGAAAUCCCCGGGCUGAAUCUGGGCACUGUAUUCUGAAUUGUCGAACUUUAGUAUGGUAGAGGGUGGGGUAAUUU
rnacentral:rRNA from 1 species